rnacentral:lncRNA from 7 species
AUGACAAGAGAAAAAAAAAAAAAAAAAAAAAAAAAAAAAAAAAAAAAAAAAAAAAAAAAAAAAAAAAAAAAAAAAAAAAAAAAAAAAAAAAAAAAAAAAAAAAAAAAAAAAAAAAAAAAAAAAAAAAAAAAAAACCCCCAAAGAAAAGAAAAAAAUGAACAAAAAAAAGAAAAAAGAGAAAAGAAAAAAAUGAACAAAAAGAGAAAAAAGAGAAAAGAAAAAAAUGACAAAAAAGAGAAAAAGAGAAAAGAAAAAAUGAACAAAAAAAGAAAAAAGAGAAAAAGCUAAAAAAAGAAAAAAGAUAAAGAAAAAAGAAAAAAGAGAAAAUAGAAAUAAAAAAGAGGACAGAAAAAUAUGAAAAAAAGAAAAAAGAAAAAAAGAAAAGAAAAAAACAAUAGAUGAAAAAAGAAAAAACGAAAGGAAAAACGGAUAAUGACAAGAGAAGAAAGGUAAAGAGAAAAGAAGAAAAAAGCCAAGUCAAAAAGUAAAGAAUAACUCGAAGGAAGGAGUGGAUGGCAAGAAAUACAGGGAAAGCAAUGCAUAGCACAGCAAAGCAAAGCAAGGCAAAAUAGCAGCCAAAGCCACGAGAAUCAAGAAGUCAGUGAAGAGCAGGAAAGGUAAGUUUCCCUUAAAGCAAGGGGGAAUGGUAGUGGAUGGGGCAAAAGAGAGGGGAGGGGAGGGGAGGGGAAGGAGUGGGGGGAGAGGGGGAGGAGCAGUGGGGAAAGCGGUGGGGCUAGAGGGGGGUGAGGGGUGCAAGAGGGGGGAGGGAGGAAGGGUGGAGAGGGGGGAGAAGUGAGGGGGGUGAGUAAGUGGGGGCGUGGGUGGAUGGGGGGGAGAGGAGAGAGGGUAGGAAGGAAAAAAUUGGAGGUAGGGUGAGGGAAGGGGGAGGGUUGAAGGGAAAAUAAUGAAACGGGAAAAAAGAGAAUAACAAGUAAAAAGCAAUGCAUGUAAAUACAGAGCAAGCAAGUAGGAAAGCUAGGCAUAGCACAGCAAAAGAGAGCAAAGCAAAAGGCGGCAAAGAAUGACAAAAAGCAACCUUGCAGGAAUGGAGGAAUCUGGCCAGAGCUGUGCCCCUGCUUGCCACAGGAGCUGCGCGGGAGGAGAAGAAUGUGGGCCAAAAGGUAAGAGGAGCUCCUUUGGGUUCUGGGCUUGAAGCAAAGCUGAGAAGCCAUGCCCGGGAGGAGGUGUGGGUAGCUACAGGCCACCUUGCUAUCUCCCCAAGAGAUGAGGUGUGUGGGCUAGGCACCGGGCAGGAGUGCUGGCCAGAAGCAAGCAUCUCUGUGGAGGAAGGCAAAGGGCGGAGGAGGUUCAAGGGUAGCUACCGGGCAUGGCCUUGCUCAGCAAGGGGAGGAAAAGCCUGAAGGGCACGAGAAGGGGACAGAGAAGGGCAGGCAGUAGGCGUGAAGCUGUGAGCAGAGUAGAGAGCAACUUGGCAGAGCAGCAAGCAGAGUAGGCAAGUGCUGAGGUUUGGCGUGAGUAGCAGCAAAAGCCCAUAGCAUCAAGAAGCAGGAAGUGAGGAGAAGGUAAGUGAAGGGCAGGCAAGGUAAUGGGAGGCAGAGGCAAGGGGAAAGGGAGGGUAAGGGAGAAAGAGGGGAUGGGGAGGGGAGGGGAUGGGUGAAGAGCAGAGCGGAGGGAAGGGCUGAGGGGAGGGCUGAAGGCAAACCAAUGAUGAAAAAAGAAAAGAAAAAAUAAGCAAAAAAAUAUGAAAUAAGAGAAAAAGAAAAGAAAAAUAAGAAAAAGAGAAAAAAGAAAAGAAAAAAUGAACAAAAAAGACAAAAAAGAGAAAAGAAAAAUGAACAAAAAUAAGAAAAAAGAGAAAAGAAAAAAAUGACAAAAAGAGAAAAAGAGAAAAGAAAAAAUGACAAAAAGAGAAAAGAGAAAAGAAAAAAAAUGACAAAAAAGAGAAAAAAGAGAAAAGAAAAAAAUGAACAAAAAAGAGAAAAAGAGAAAAGAAAAAAAUGAACAAAAAGAGAAAAAGAGAAAAGCUAAAAAAAGAAAAAGAUAAAAAAGAAAAAGAGAAAAUAGAAAAAAAGAGGACAGAAAAAUAUGAAAAAAAGAAAAAAAGAAAAGAAAAAAAUAAUAGAUGAAAAAAGAAAAAACGAAAGGAAAAACGGAUAAUGACAAGAGAAGAAAGGUAAAGAGAAAAGAAGAAAAAAGCCAAGUCAAAAAGUAAAGAAUAACUCGAAGGAAGGAGUGGAUGGCAAGAAAUACAGGGAAAGCAAUGCAUAGCACAGCAAAGCAAAGCAAGGCAAAAUAGCAGCCAAAGCCACGAGAAUCAAGAAGUCAGUGAAGAGCAGGAAAGGUAAGUUUCCCUUAAAGCAAGGGGGAAUGGUAGUGGAUGGGGGCAAAAGAGAGGGGAGGGGAGGGGAGGGGAAGUGAAGGAGUGGGGGGAGAGGGGGAGGAGCAGUGGGGAAAGCGGUGGGGCUAGAGGGGGGUGAGGGGUGCAAGAGGGGGAGGGAGGAAGGGUGGAGAGGGGGGAGAAGUGAGGGGGGUGAGUAAGUGGGGCGUGGGUGGAUGGGGGGGAGAGGAGAGAGGGUAGGAAGGAAAAAAUUGGAGGUAGGGUGAGGGAAGGGGAGGGUUGAAGGGAAAAUAAUGGAACAGGGGAAAAAAGAGAAUAACAAGUAAAAAGCAAUGCAUGUAAAUACAGAGCAAGCAAGUAGGAAAGCUAGGCAUAGCACAGCAAAAGAGAGCAAAGCAAAAGGCGGCAAAGAAUGACAAAAAGCAACCUUGCAGGAAUGGAGGAAUCUGGCCAGAGCUGUGCCCCUGCUUGCCACAGGAGCUGCGCGGGAGGAGAAGAAUGUGGGCCAAAAGGUAAGAGGAGCUCCUUUGGGUUCUGGGCUUGAAGCAAAGCUGAGAAGCCAUGCCCGGGAGGAGGUGUGGGUAGCUACAGGCCACCUUGCUAUCUCCCCAAGAGAUGAGGUGUGUGGGCUAGGCACCGGGCAGGAGUGCUGGCCAGAAGCAAGCAUCUCUGUGGAGGAAGGCAAAGGGCGGAGGAGGUUAGGCACUGGGAAGGGUUUUUUAAAAAUAACAAAAAAAUUGUGAAAUGAAGAAAGAAAUGAGCUAAAUAAUGCUUAUAAGUAUGCAUAAUGGAUUGCAACAAAUUUCAUGAACGCAAAUAUGAAAUUUUACUGUGUAGAAGUGUGUGAGGACCCAUGACUGGUGAGUGAUCCUGGGAUGGAAGAAAGAAUUUUGCCAGUUUUUACGGAAUUGAUAUUUUAGCUGUAGCCAUGGAGAGCUUGUUUUUUG